rnacentral:rRNA from 1 species
AGGUGAUCCAACCGCAGGUUCCCCUACGGUUACCUUGUUACGACUUCACCCCAGUCAUGAAUCACAAAGUGGUAAGCGCCCUCCCGAAGGUUAAGCUACCUACUUCUUUUGCAACCCACUCCCAUGGUGUGACGGGCGGUGUGUACAAGGCCCGGGAACGUAUUCACCGUGGCAUUCUGAUCCACGAUUACUAGCGAUUCCGACUUCAUGGAGUCGAGUUGCAGACUCCAAUCCGGACUACGACGCACUUUAUGAGGUCCGCUUGCUCUCGCGAGGUCGCUUCUCUUUGUAUGCGCCAUUGUAGCACGUGUGUAGCCCUGGUCGUAAGGGCCAUGAUGACUUGACGUCAUCCCCACCUUCCUCCAGUUUAUCACUGGCAGUCUCCUUUGAGUUCCCGGCCGGACCGCUGGCAACAAAGGAUAAGGGUUGCGCUCGUUGCGGGACUUAACCCAACAUUUCACAACACGAGCUGACGACAGCCAUGCAGCACCUGUCUCACGGUUCCCGAAGGCACAUUCUCAUCUCUGAAAACUUCCGUGGAUGUCAAGACCAGGUAAGGUUCUUCGCGUUGCAUCGAAUUAAACCACAUGCUCCACCGCUUGUGCGGGCCCCCGUCAAUUCAUUUGAGUUUUAACCUUGCGGCCGUACUCCCCAGGCGGUCGACUUAACGCGUUAGCUCCGGAAGCCACGCCUCAAGGGCACAACCUCCAAGUCGACAUCGUUUACGGCGUGGACUACCAGGGUAUCUAAUCCUGUUUGCUCCCCACGCUUUCGCACCUGAGCGUCAGUCUUCGUCCAGGGGGCCGCCUUCGCCACCGGUAUUCCUCCAGAUCUCUACGCAUUUCACCGCUACACCUGGAAUUCUACCCCCCUCUACGAGACUCAAGCUUGCCAGUAUCAGAUGCAGUUCCCAGGUUGAGCCCGGGGAUUUCACAUCUGACUUAACAAACCGCCUGCGUGCGCUUUACGCCCAGUAAUUCCGAUUAACGCUUGCACCCUCCGUAUUACCGCGGCUGCUGGCACGGAGUUAGCCGGUGCUUCUUCUGCGGGUAACGUCAAUGAGCAAAGGUAUUAACUUUACUCCCUUCCUCCCCGCUGAAAGUACUUUACAACCCGAAGGCCUUCUUCAUACACGCGGCAUGGCUGCAUCAGGCUUGCGCCCAUUGUGCAAUAUUCCCCACUGCUGCCUCCCGUAGGAGUCUGGACCGUGUCUCAGUUCCAGUGUGGCUGGUCAUCCUCUCAGACCAGCUAGGGAUCGUCGCCUAGGUGAGCCGUUACCCCACCUACUAGCUAAUCCCAUCUGGGCACAUCCGAUGGCAAGAGGCCCUAAGGUCCCCCUCUUUGGUCUUGCGACGUUAUGCGGUAUUAGCUACCGUUUCCAGUAGUUAUCCCCCUCCAUCGGGCAGUUUCCCAGACAUUACUCACCCGUCCGCCACUCGUCAGCAAAGCAGCAAGCUGCUUCCUGUUACCGUUCGACUUGCAUGUGUUAGGCCUGCCGCCAGCGUUCAAUCUGAGCCAUGAUCAAACUCU